rnacentral:rRNA from 1 species
AUUGAACGCUGGCGGCAGGCCUAACACAUGCAAGUCGAACGGUAACAGGGAUCAGCUUGCUGAUUCGCUGACGAGUGGCGGACGGGUGAGUAAUGUCUGGGAAACUGCCUGAAGGAGGGGGAUAACUACUGGAAACGGUAGCUAAUACCGCAUAACGUCGCAAGACCAAAGAGGGGGACCUUCGGGCCUCUUGCCAUCGGAUGUGCCCAGAUGGGAUUAGCUAGUAGGUGGGGUAACGGCUCACCUAGGCGACGAUCCCUAGCUGGUCUGAGAGGAUGACCAGCCACACUGGAACUGAGACACGGUCCAGACUCCUACGGGAGGCAGCAGUGGGGAAUAUUGCACAAUGGGCGCAAGCCUGAUGCAGCCAUGCCGCGUGUAUGAAGAAGGCCUUCGGGUUGUAAAGUACUUUCAGCGGGGAGGAAGGGAGUAAAGUUAAUACCUUUGCUCAUUGACGUUACCCGCAGAAGAAGCACCGGCUAACUCCGUG